rnacentral:rRNA from 1 species
GUCCACGCCGUAAACGAUGGGUGCUAGGUGUGGGAGGUGUCGACUCCUUCCGUGCCGUAGCUAACGCAUUAAGCACCCCGCCUGGGGAGUACGGCCGCAAGGCUAAAACUCAAAGGAAUUGACGGGGCCCCGCACAAGCAGCGGAGCAUGUGGUUUAAUUCGAUGCAACGCGAAGAACCUUACCAGGGCUUGACAUGCACUGGAAAACCGUAGAAAUACGGUCCUCCUUAGGGACCAGUACACAGGUGGUGCAUGGCUGUCGU